rnacentral:lncRNA from 1 species
AUGGACAAAGAAAAUUGUUGUUUUUUUUUUUUUCAGGGAAUGGUUCUAAGAAGCAUUUAUAUGAUUUUGACCAGAAACGUUAUCAUAAGACAAUUGGAUCUUGAUAAACACAGGAAAAUCUACAUGACUCUCACUUAUCCCCACUACUUCUAUCUACAAAAUAUCUGAAGUUCUUGUGCUGCUCUAAACAACACGCCAUGAUUGUACAACACUGAGAAAGACAGGAAGUGAUUUGGAGACUGGCAACGUGCUGGAGUCAUAGACUUUAUUUACUUAUAUCCAGUAUCAAACACUGGAAAGAUGGAAUUAUGUAUAACAUUUUCAAUAAUUGGAAAUGAAAAUAUGAUACAAUAAAUAUUCAUAAAUUAUUAAAGAACUUUUUAAACUCAGAAUGAUGGCCUCCACUUAAAAUGAUAAUCUUAAUGUUUAAAAUUGCCAUUUGAAACUUGCCAGUUUUACAUCAUUGAAUCAGUUUUCACAGGUAAUAGAAUGUUAAGCAAGAGUUUUAGCUAUUAGAGCAAAUUUCAGUGUAAUAACUUUUAUCUCUCCUUCAUCAAAGAUCUGUCGACUGGGUUGUAUGGAUCUAUUUUUGGGCUCUCUACUGUCUUCCAUUAAUUUAUUUGUCUAUCCUUUUGCCAAUACCUUACUGUUUUGAUUGCUGUAGCUUUACAUUAAGUCUUUAGGUCAGGUAGAGUUAGCCCUUACACAUUUUAUUCUCCUUCAAUAUCAUGUUGGUUUUUCUAAGUAAUUUGACAUUCCAUAUAAACCUUAGAACCAGCUUGUCAAUAUUCACAAAAUAACUUGUUGGGAUUUUGAUUUGGAUUGUAUUGAAUCUAUAGAUUGAGUUGA